rnacentral:rRNA from 1 species
AUUGAACGCUGGCGGCAGGCCUAACACAUGCAAGUCGAACGAGUGGCGGACGGGUGAGUAAUGUCUGGGAACCUGCCUGAUGGAGGGGGAUAACUACUGGAAACGGUUGAUAAUCCCGCAUACCAUCGUUUGUGACCAUAUGGGAUUAGCUAGUAGGUGGGGUAAAGUCUCACCUAGGCAACGAACCCUAGCUGGUCUGAGAGGAUGACAAGCCACACUGGAACUGAGACACGGUCCAGACUCCUACGGGAGGCAGCAGUGGGGAAUAUUGCACAAUGGGCGCAAGCCUGAUGCAGCCAUGCCGCGGGUAUGAAGAAGGCCUUCGGGUUGUAAAGUACUUUCAGCGGGGAGGCGUUACCCGCAGAAGAAGCACCGGCUAACUCCGUGCCAGCAGCCGCGGUAAUAC